rnacentral:rRNA from 1 species
UUAAGUGACGAUAGCCUAGGAGAUACACCUGUACCCAUGCCGAACACAGAAGUUAAGCCCUAGAACGCCGGAAGUAGUUGGGGGUUGCCCCCUGUGAGAUAGGGACGUCGCUUAGC